rnacentral:rRNA from 1 species
GAGACAGCAGUCGCCGCGGGAAUACGUAGGGUGCAAGCGUUAAUCGGAAUUACUGGGCGUAAAGCGUGCGCAGGCGGUUAUAUAAGACAGAUGUGAAAUCCCCGGGCUCAACCUGGGAACUGCAUUUGUGACUGUAUAGCUAGAGUACGGCAGAGGGGGAUGGAAUUCCGCGUGUAGCAGUGAAAUGCGUAGAUAUGCGGAGGAACACCGAUGGCGAAGGCAAUCCCCUGGGCCUGUACUGACGCUCAUGCACGAAAGCGUGGGGAGCAAACAGGAUUAGAUACCCCAGUAGUCCCUGUCUCUUAUAC